AGUGAACGCUGGCGGUAGGCCUAACACAUGCAAGUCGAACGGCAGCACAGUAAGAGCUUGCUCUUACGGGUGGCGAGUGGCGGACGGGUGAGGAAUACAUCGGAAUCUACUUUUUCGUGGGGGCUAACGUAGGGAAACUUACGCUAAUACCGCAUACGACCUACGGGUGAAAGCAGGGGAUCUUCGGACCUUGCGCGAUUGAAUGAGCCGAUGUCGGAUUAGCUAGUUGGCGGGGUAAAGGCCCACCAAGGCGACGAUCCGUAGCUGGUCUGAGAGGAUGAUCAGCCACACUGGAACUGAGACACGGUCCAGACUCCUACGGGAGGCAGCAGUGGGGAAUAUUGGGCAAUGGGCGAAAGCCUGAUCCAGCCAUACCGCGUGGGUGAAGAAGGACUUCGGGUUGUAAAGCCAUGUUGUUGGGAAAGAAAAGCAGCAGGUUAAUACCCCGCUGUUCUGACGGUACCCAAAGAAUAAGCACCGGCUAACUUCGUG
rnacentral:rRNA from 1 species